CUCAGGAGAGACUGAGUGGUCUUGCUCAGUUUGUUGUAUGGUCUGGGUUGUCUUGAUUAGAAUAAAUAAUGACCUUCACAAAGAGUAUUCAGGGCUUUUUCAUUUAAUGAGAUAUAAGAAAUAAUGACUUGAACAUAAUGGCAUAUAAAUUCAGCAAAGAAAUAUUACAUACUUUCUUACUGUAUAAUAAUAAACAAUGGAACCAAAUGAAAAUGUAGAUAUUUCAUUUCUGGAUGGUUUUCUGGAAAGUGCUGUUUACUUCUGUAGACUAAGGAAAGCGAUAUGAGUUCAUGAUUUUUCUUGGCUUUAACAUCUAUCAUUAGCUCCCAACAUUCAACUUGUUUAUUUUGAAAUAGAGCCUGCAUAACUAGCCUUUUGUUAUUGUGGUGAGGACUGAUUGGAAUUGCAUAACAUAGAGCAAAAUUUGUCUGUUAUUUUAUUUAUCCUUAAAAGAAAGAUAAAAGAUACGUGUAGGAGGCUCUGUAAACAUUAAUAGUGUGUUUCUUGUUAAGACUCCCAGAAUACUGGUGGAAAUGGACAUGCUCCUGCAAAACUGAACAAAACAGAAAAUGAAAUGAGGGGAAGUAUGCAAAAACAUUCCCAUAAUGUUAUGUGUUGUGGCUUAACACCGAUGGGCAGCUAGGCACCACACAGGACCUCUCUCACUUCCCUUCCUCAAAAAGGAUAGAGGGAGAAAAAUACCAAGGAAAAGUUCAUGGAUUGAGAUUAAGGCAAAGAGAUCCCCCACCAAUUACAACCAUGGGCAAAACAGACUCAGCAUAGAGAAGAUUAGUGUAAUUUCCUGCCAAUUAGUAAAAAACAAUAGCAGUGAUUACUGAAUUUAAACUAAAAUCAUCAUCCUAUUUAUCUUUUCUAUUUUCUCCCCUCAAGAGACUCUGGUAAAUAGGGAUGCAGUCAGUUCCUAGUGCUUCAUCACUGCCACUCUUCGUCCUCACUCUUCCAGUGCUCCUUUGUGAGGUCUCUCCCAUGGGAUGCAGUACUUCACUGACAGAUCCAGAGUGAGUUUACCACAGGUUGCAGUUCUUCAAGACUUCCAGAUGGUCCCUUCCAAUCUAAACCAUUCUCUGAUUUUGAAACCGCUGCAACAUCAAUCCGUACCACAGGACCCCAUCUUCAGGAGCAGACUGCUCCAGCAUGGGUCCUCUCAUGGGUGGCAGAUCCUCCAGACUUCUUGCUCCACCAUGGGCUCCUCCACAGGCUGUUCAUGGAAAUCUGCUCCAGGUGGUGCCCAUGGGCUGCAGGGAACUUCUGCUCCAUGCCUGGAGCACCUACUGCCUUCCUUCUGCACUGACCGUGGUGGUUUCAGGGCUGUUUCUCUCAGAGUAUCUUACUCCUCUCUCCCAGCUGCUGUUGCAAGAUAUGUUUUCCCUUCCUUCAGUCUGCUCUUCUAGAAGCACACUCAGUAUUUCUCAUCACUCAGCUCUGGCCAGUGGUAGAUCCCUUUUGGAGCAGCUGGAGCUGGCUCUUACCUGACAAGGGGCAGCUUCUGGCGUCUUCCCACAGAGGCAAAUCAUACGGUCCCUCUGUACCAGAAUCUUCACACUUAAACCCUAUACAUGCUGUUUGCAUUCAAGAAUUAGAGAUGAAGCAGUAGUUGUUACACUAAAAAAGUACAAAAUGCUGUAUGAGAGCGAGUGUAGAAAUGAUUGGGAAGUGAAACUGUUGUUAAGGUUGUCUUUUGUGAAUCUAGGCUUCCGGGAAAUGGUAUUACAUUGGUUACUCCUUGCUACAAGUGAGACAUUUUCUCCCUGAGAGUUAAUCACAGAACUCUGCAGCUUUACUGUAGCUUUCUCUCAGCUUUUCUCUCCUCUGACUCCGCUCUUCCUCUGGUCAUAUCCUCCCUGCUGCAACUUCUUAUCUAACCUCAGCUUCCCACUUAAGUGGGAGUAUCUUAAGUAUCUGCAAGGAUACUUAAGAGGGGGGAAGCUUCCUAUUAAGCCGUUCUCAUGCUGGGAUGUUUGCCUACUUACUAAUAGAGACUGGAUUUAGUAUGUCUGCAGAGAGAGAUGUCUUACUGCAGUCUGAGAUCCAAUAAAUCAGGCAGUGACUCCACAAAUACUUCAAGCCAAAGGAGGAGGCCUCCAUCACAUCCCAGGGCCUGGUUCACAGUUUUUGUAUUACAUCCUUUAUGCUGGCAAAGGAGUUCACAUACCUGUGGAGUGAAUAAAACCAAGCAACUAGGAUAUGGCAAAAGAGAGCAAAUUUAGUUUUCUUGUGCCUUCACAAGUGCUUUUGUUUGCAAAAGAAAAGCAUCAGCAAGGGCAGAAACGUUCUUUUCCCAAGUUAGUCAGCUUAAGUUAUCCUUCAAAAAGAGCCACUUGAAAAGCAGCUGCAUACUCAUAGCUGAUCUAGUUGUACUGAGGAGGCAGAUAAGCACUGUUUGAGGUGUCGGCCGUCAGAUAGAUCUGCCUCAUUCACACAGUUCGGGCUUCUAUUUAAAAAAAAAAAAUACAACAACAGAAAAAACACACAGAAAUCUUACCUUUAGAGUAAACUGUAUAAGUGGGUUUAGAAGCUAAGUCCACGAUUGUAAUUUUGAUCUGAAAGCAUCCACCUGAGACCUAUCCCUCAAAGGCAAAAACAAUCAGUCAGUGGGAAUAAUGGAGUUUGGUCUCAAGGUCCAGAGAAUAUGUAAAUACAUCAAGUGGGUUUUCGUAGGCUUUACAGGUUUUGUUUUCAUCUGAACACGAAAGACUGCAGCUUUCCCAGAGACUUGUCUGCUCAGUUUUUAUACCUCCUGCUUGUGACAUAUUUCUGGCAUCAGAUGAGUGAGGAAUGAGAAGCAAGAUAGCAGCACUCAAAGUUUACAAAUAUCCCAGAAUACCUGGCAGUCCCCCUGGGCUUUCAAGGUCAAGUCUUCAGUGAGCACCUGCGAAAGAGAUAAACUUUCCCAACAAAGCUCUCUGAGAGCAGAGAGAGAUUCAUUCUAAAAGCUAAAAAGCAGAUUUUGCCCACAUUCUCCACCAAGAAAUGUUGACGGUUUACGGGCUGGUAUGGCCCAGUUCUGUGACUGGCCGGGCAGAGGGAUCUGCAGAUCCACACUUCUGGAAAGGGGAAACAGGGAACCCCAAAAUAAUUAAAAACAGUGGCAACAAUCUGAGGAGAAACAAACUCAUUUACUAAAUAUGGUAUUGGAAUGCAACACACUAUAAUACAAUAUACUUAGAACUGAAGCUAAUAAAUCAAAUGUAAUGAGAGAAAGAGUGUCUGAGAACUGAAGGCCUCUCCAUACGCUGAGGUGAGAUGUGCAGUCAGGCGAGCAGCAUGGAGGAGAGCUUAAGGAAAAAGGGGACAUCAGGUGACUUUGCCAGAGGUUAUAUCUCCUCUCUGACUGCAAAGCUCCCUGGAGAAUGUAGUUCUUGUCUUCCAGACAGGUGCCUGGAACUGGAGUGUUAACACAGUAACUUCCAGUGCACUACAUGAUGUUAUGAUGUGGAAUACCAGUAACAAUCACAAAAAAUCAUAAAACCAUGACAAUAUUUCAUUAAGAUCUUUAGAGAAACAGAAUCAAAUAAUAGCUAUAUAUCAGCAGAAGUUUACCUUUAGAGUCUUAUGUUAUGAGCGUAUAUAUGGACAGUGUAAUAUAUACAUAGUGAUUUAGAGGAAUUUCAGAACAGCUCUGUACUGUAGGUUGAAGUCUAAAUUGACUUAAUUUCCACAUUUCUAGAAUAACAAGUGUUCUUAUUUGCAAAGGUUUAAAAUAGAGAGGCUCCUUACAGUGUUAAAAAAGAUGUGAAGGACCUUUAGUGUGAUUAAAAUUGGUAUCAAUAUGUACUCUAAUGUGAGACUAGCUUGUUAUAUUCCACAGCAUCAUAUGUUUUGAUGCUAAGAAUGCAUUGAAAGGAGGGCAACAAAUACAGUAAAAAGUUUAGAGGCUAUAACUUAUGAGGAAUGCUUGAAGAUAUUUGGUUAGUUCACCUUACAGAAGAAGAGACCAAGGGAAGACAUCAUGGUCUACAACUUCUUCCUUGUGGGGGGUGGAGAGGGAGGCACUGAUCUCUCUGGUGAAAGCAAUAGGACUAGAGGGAGUAACUUAGGGUGUACUGAGGAAAUUCACACUGAGUGUUAGGAAGCUUCUUCACUAGAAGGGUGGUCAAGUGCUGGAACAGGCUUUCCAGAGAAGUGAUCGCAGCACCAGCAAUGUCAGUGUUCAAGAACAAUCUGGACAAUGCUUUGAGAUCACAGAAUGGCAGGGUUUGGAAGGGACCUGUUGUGAUCACCUAGUUGAUCCCCUGCUAAAGCAACUUCCUUAGAGAGGGCUGCACAGGAAAGAGUCCAGGAAGGUCAUGAAUAUCUCCAGAAAAGGAGACUUCGCUACUUCUAUGGACAACCUGUUCCAGUGCUCUGUUACCCCCAAAGCAAAGGAGUUCUUCCUCAUGUUUAGAUGUGUUCCAGUUUGUGCCCUUUUCCCUUUGUCCUAUUCCUUGGCACCAGUGAAAAGAGCCUGGCUCCAUCCUUUUCACACUUGCCCAUAUUUAUUGGUGUAGAUACCCUCUCAGUUUUCUCUUUUCCAGGCUCAACAGUCCCAGAUCUUUCAGCCUUUCCUCAUAAGGGAGGUGCUUAAUCAUCUUUGUUGCCCUCUGCUGGACUCUUUCUUGUAGUCCUCUCUUUCUGGAAUUGAUGAGCCGGGAACUGGACACAGAACCCCAGAUUUGGCCUCAGCAGGGCAAUGUGGAGGGGGAAGAGAAGCUCCUAUGUUAAAUGGUUUAACUGUUAGGUUGCCCUGUGUAGAGUCAGAAGUUGUACUCAGUGAUGCUAAUGGAUCCCUUCCAUCUCAGUAUAUUCAAUAGUUCUCUAAUUCCUGUUAUGAGUUUACUGAUUUUCUUCCAAACACAAUUUUUUUUCUAUAUUAAUAACAAUGCAUUGUAAUGCAAAGUUAGAGUGAACAAUUUAUGUUUAACAAGCUCCUUCUUCUCAAUUUUGAACAAACUAUGAUUUUUUAAAGCAUUAUUUUGUAUAUAUAUUUUUUCAGACUAUUACAAGUAGUGGUGUUAGCACAUGCUAACCUGUUUCUCAGGUCUUUUCAUUCCCUUUGUCUACCCUUUUUUCUUCCUCUCAACUUUUUUUGUUGUUGUUUUUAAAAAGAAAAUACACAGAAAUUCCCAAGGAAAGACAAUUGCUGUAGUGGCAGAUAGAAUAUGCAUUAAGCUAUAAACCUAUUAAACAGAAUAGUGAAUAAAAUGUUUUUUGAAGUAUCUUGUGAUACGUUAUUGGUUUCUCUUUAUCCUCUCUUAU
ensembl:lncRNA